rnacentral:misc_RNA from 1 species
AUAAAUAAAUAAAGGAAAGUCCCACCUAGAGAUAACAAAAUAUGCAUUGAAAUCAUUCAAGAAAACAAACAAAUCAUGUUUGAGAUAGAGUUUAUCAGCAUCAAACCAUUUUAAGCUUUGUUUUUAUUACUUUUAAAACUAUAAUUAUGGAAAACUAUGUAUCCCCCCUCCUCCUUUUCUAGUGACUAUGCAUAGUUUUGAAACCUAGACCAGCCCAGCCAGUUCAAAUGGAAAAAUCAGGAAUCGAGCCUACACAGUAAUUAUUAGUUAAUGACAAGUGGCAACCAUUUACAUGACGUUUCGCACGCAAUGGUGAUAUUUACUUCUCCAAAAGAUAACUCUGAACCCAUGUUUUGGACAUUAUCGAUGUCUUUGGAUAGUCAAUUUUGGGGAACCACUAUUUCUAAAAUUAAGUAAUCUUAGUUGGAGUUUAAGGAUAAAUUAGACAAGUUGAUUGAAUAUUAAAAGGACAUAUGUUUUGUAUAUAAGCUAAUAUACUAAAAAAAUUUAUAGAAAAUUUAUUUAUUAAUUUAGUAUGCCAAUAUUAAAUUAAUUCAUUUAUAUAUUAAUAUUAUUAUUAAUUUAUAAAAGAUUAU